AUAUAAUAACCUAAUGUAAAUAUUUCCGUUCUAUUUAUUAUUUUUGUUCUCAAUGUUAAUUUAUUUUCUAUUUGUAAUUAUUUAUGUUCAUUGUUAAAUUCACUUGCAUCCCAUAGUCAUUUAUGUUUGAGAUAUUCAGUGUCCCCAUUUCCAAUAAAAUGCACUACUUCAAAUCCGCAUAGCUUGCAUUCAAGUCGCCUUCAUUAAUUAAAGCGUAUGCAAUCAUUCCCACUCCGCUAUAAAACCCGAGGGUCAAUCCGAGCAUUGCUCUCUUUUAAAAAGUAUAAGAGUCCAAAGAUAAAUUAAGCGAGACAGGUCAUUCAGACGAAAAGGGAAGCGAAAGAGAUAGCGCUUUAAUCGGUUCACAUUCGUGGUUGAUGAGAAUCGUCGUUUGAUCAAGUCGUGCAAUUACUUCGGUAAUUUCACGUACUUCCGGUCACGAAGCAAUAAGUCCUCACUUAUUCUGAGGGCUUCAAGAACUUCUACUCGUCCAUUCUGACCUGGACCGUGGAAGAGGCGAGAGUGCGUGAUAAUUGUUUAGUGUCGCGGUGUGUUUUAUUUGUGUAGUCAAAGUUUAACGACCUUUGUCAAGGGUUACGUGCGGUCAAGUUGUGUGUGCGAUUGUGAAUAGAAAAAGCCGUUCGACGGCUUUUUAUUUAGGAUUCGCUUCUAGCGAUCCACGGCCCAUACUCGGCACACCGCAUCCACCAGUCAAACGCGACUCUCGACCCCACGCUUCAGCGCACAGAAGUCCCGGUUUGAGGGGAAAGCCGGAAGGGACUAUCGUCCGACAGAGUGGCCAGCGAAAGCCUUAUUCUUAGCUACGACCCGUAGCGUGACACCACCAAGCCUCCGACGAUCCCCAUCGUCGUCAUCUGCGCCAUCUUUAGCCGGCGCGCGUUUCAGUACCAGCUCGGGACCAACCACCGUCUGGGAAUUCCCGUUGCGCAGCGACACAGCGUUUUUCGACCAAGCGUCAUCGUAGUCCACGAGUAAACUCCACCAUCGCCGCAUUUGGCACGGUUGCCGCAAUAACAUCGUUUCGUCGGCCGCCGCCGAUAAAUUCUGCUUUACCGUCAGCAUUCGUCCGCUGCCGGACAAAGGGUACCGUGAGUACAAAACAAGCCAAAAUAAAUAACAAUACGCAUGCGUUAAACUCCACACACUAAUCCCGAGCUCGAAGAUCGACGAUGGUCGAUAGUAGAAGUUAGACGUCGAUAGAAGCCAGA